rnacentral:rRNA from 1 species
UUAUUAGUAGAAAAAAUAAUUUGAUUAUUGUAUUGUGAAAAAUUUUAUAUGGUAUUUUCGAAGGGAGAUGAUGAAAAUUUUAAAGAAUUAUUUGAUCURAGUUCUUUUUGGAUCAUGAUCUAUAAAGAGAAGAAAAUAGAUUUUUAUUCCCGAAAAUUAUAGAGCUACUGGUUUUACUAUAAUUGUUUUAAUACUUAAUAAUUAAGGGUGGGAGAAGUUAAAUGGUUAUCGAAAUGGUUGAUAGCUGGUUGUAAGGGAAAUAUAUUAUAGUWUAGAGRUWAAAUUAURRACUAUUUUUAUUUAAUAGAAAYAAAGUUUAUUUUUAUUAUUCAGGUUUUUUGGGAUAAGCUAAAAAGCGUAUAUAAAGUAGUAAAAUUUUGUUAAUAAAGUAGGGUUUAUAUUGCCCCUCUURUAAAAACUUAAUAAUAAAGUGUUUUAUAAAAUAUUUUUUUUUARUACCUUUCAGUAUUUAUUAAUAUUAUAAAUGGUAUAAGUAUAGAAUUAGUAGCUAUAAAAUAAAUUAGUAAAAAGAAAAAGUUGACUAAUARUAUAAUUAUAUUAAGAAAUACUAAUUAUYUCUAUUUAAAAUAAGUAAUGAAGAAAUAUUUUUUAAAGGAACUCGACAAAUUUAUCCUUCGCCUGUUUAUCAAAAACAUGGCUUUUUGAGUAUUUAAAUAAUAAAAAGUCUGGCCUGCCCAGUGAGUAUAUUAAAUGGCUGCAACGAGAGUUGUACUAAGGUAGCGCGAUAAUUUGUCUCUUAAUUAGAGAAUGGUAUGAAGGGUUAGACGUGGGAUUAUUGUCUCUAAAAAAKAKAGUUAAGUUUCCUUUUAAAUGAAAAGGUUUAAAUUUAUUAAAAGACGAGAAGACCCUGUCGAGCUUAAUUAAAUAAAAAACUAGAUAUGGUUAAAUGAAAAGUGUUAAUAGUUUAAUUGUUGGCUGAGUUUUUAAUUGAAGUUUAGUUGGGGAGAGCUGAGUUUAAGGUAAUAAACUUAAGAAAUACUAAAGAUCCUCUUUGAGAGAAGUUAGCAAAAGCUACCGCAGGGAUAACAGCGUAAUUCUUUUUAAGAGAUCUUAUUGAGGGAAGAGUUUGCGACCUCGAUGUUGGAUUAGAAAAACUUUUUGGUGUAGCAGCUAGAAGUUGUAAGACUGUUCGUCUUUUAAUUUUCUACAUGAUCUGAGUUCAGACCGGCGUGAGCUAGGUUGGUUUCUAUCUUUAUUUUUUAUUCCCAUUGUACGAAAGGAUCCGGGUAUAGAGUUUUACUUUUAAUUGUUUAUUAAUUAAAUUAAUUUGCCUCAGUUUGCUCCUAUUUUUUUUAGUUUUCUUUUUAUUAUAAUCUGGUUAGAUUUUGUAGUUAAAAUAUGUUUGUUGUGAUGAAGCUGUAAGCGGUCUUAUAAUUUUUAGCUUACU